UACGUAGGGGGCAAGCGUUGUCCGGAUUUAUUGGGCGUAAAAGGCUUGUAGGUGGCCACGCCAAGUCGGAUGUGAAAUCUCCCGGCUCAACUGGGAGGGGUCAUUCGAUACUGGUGGGCUCGAGGCCGGUAGGGGGAAGCGGAAUUCCCGGUGUAGUGGUGGAAUGCGUAGAUAUCGGGAGGAACACCAGUGGCGAAGGCGGCUUCCUGGACCGGUUCUGACACUGAGGAGCGAAAGCGUGGGGAGCGGAUCCGG
rnacentral:rRNA from 1 species